rnacentral:rRNA from 1 species
GAUGAACGCUAGCUACAGGCUUAACACAUGCAAGUCGAGGGGAAACGACAUCGAAAGCUUGCUUUUGGUGGGCGUCGACCGGCGCACGGGUGAGUAACGCGUAUCCAACCUGCCCACCACUUGGGGAUAACCUUGCGAAAGUAAGACUAAUACCCAAUGAUAUCCCACGAAGGCAUCCGAAUGGGAUUAAAGAUUUAUCGGUGAUGGAUGGGGAUGCGUCUGAUUAGCUUGUUGGCGGGGUAACGGCCCACCAAGGCAACGAUCAGUAGGGGUUCUGAGAGGAAGGUCCCCCACAUUGGAACUGAGACACGGUCCAAACUCCUACGGGAGGCAGCAGUGAGGAAUAUUGGUCAAUGGACGGAAGUCUGAACCAGCCAAGUAGCGUGCAGGAUGACGGCCCUAUGGGUUGUAAACUGCUUUUAUGUGGGAAUAAAGUGAGGGACGUGUCCCUUUUUGUAGGUACCACAUGAAUAAGGACCGGCUAAUUCCGUG